CUUGGAGGUGGAAGAUUAGCCAGUGGAACCACAUCACUAGCCCUUCAGUUGUCUUUAAGGAGAAAAUCGGCUGCCCUCUUUGGGUAAUAAUUUCAUUGAGAUAAUUCCUAGUCCAUAAAACUGACUUGGAAUAUGUACAGUAAAGUGAUUUGUAGGAUGUGUACGAAUUUGUUGUGCGCCAACUGCACAACUGACCUCUGAGUCCAUGGGAGAGCCUUUUAUCACCCCUGAAGGGAGAUCCAUUCUAACCAGCUGUGCUUCCGCUCACCUCCCAAACUCCAGUCCCUAGGAAGCACCAGUUUACUUUCUGUCUUUGUGGAUUUGCCCCGUUAGGUUUGGUCCAUAAGGAAGUCAUUAGCUAGAAUGCAUGGUGUUUGAUGAGCAGCUUCUUUCACUUGGCAGAAUGGUGCCUGGGCCCACGGUGUAGCAUGUCAUCGGGCCUUCAUUCCUGUACCGAUGAGUUUUAACUGCAUCGUGUGGCUGUACAGCAAUAGAAUUAUCCAUUGCUCAGUUGGUCGACAUUUGGGUAUAUACCAGAUGGGGGUUUUUGAUUAUCACGGCUAAUUCUUCCUUAUUGUUGAAAAUGUUGCUGUCAGUUGAGCAUGUGAAGUGAGGACUGCUUUUUAUGUCCUGCCUAAUUGGGUUCCAACUAUUGUAACUCUCAUAGAAAAAUUAAACAGUGUAGUUCUCAACGUGAUUCUGACGAUAUUCUCCCAAUUAUUAAUUGCAGAACAGUUCCUGAAAAUGGCUGCUUGGCCCAACAGAUACCCUAAGAGUGAUUCCAUAAAAGCAGCUCAUUCUUACAGGCGCCACAAGAGAAGUGGCACUCCUGGAGAUGUCGGAGAAAGACGUAUAGGUUUUGGAAGAUAAUGACUGAAAAUGUGCAGGGAAGGAAUUAAAUUGGAGGAUGUCAAACAUCAUUGUCAGAUUUAUUGGAUCCAGAGUCUGAAGGUUUAUAUAGUAAGGGUACUCCCAUCUGUCCAAACACUUGGAAAUUCAACCUAGAUGUGCCGUGUAGACAGCAGCGACACAACCGCCUGAUGCAUCAUCUGUCUCCCAGGGUGCGCAUGAGCGGGCAGCUGGAUCAAAAGUGGAGCCAAGGUCUGAACCUAGGCACUUGGGAUAUGUGAUACGCACAUCUCAAAAAUCUUCUCAGCUAAUCUGCGAAGUGCCUCCUUGCACUGAAAUAUAAAUGACUCUACUUUGUAUCACUACAUGACUGUGCAGCAAAUUACAGCUUCGUUAGGGAACUGUAGAUGAGAAGAUGGUAGGAAGCUGGAUAUUGCAAAUCUGUCAGUUCUUUCAUAAUUAAGCUUGUUGUAGACAUUUCUUAAAUGUGAAGAUCUGUUGUGAAUACUUAGGUUGACAAAAGUUAAUUUUCUGCUUAAGUUUGUAAAACUCUAAUACAAAUGUUGCUUAUAGCCUUUAAUAGAAAGAUUUAUGAAAGAAAUGCACUUUA